AAGAACCUUUACCAGGUCUUGACAUCCCGUUGACCGCUAUGGAGACAUAGUUUUCCCUUCGGGGACAAUGGUGACAGGUGGUGCAUGGUUGUCGUCAGCUCGUGUCGUGAGAUGUUGGGUUAAGUCCCGCAACGAGCGCAACCCUUGAUCUUAGUUGCCAUCAUUUAGUUGGGCACUCUAAGGUGACUGCCGGUGAUAAACCGGAGGAAGGUGGGGAUGACGUCAAAUCAUCAUGCCCCUUAUGACCUGGGCUACACACGUGCUACAAUGGACGGUCAAACGGUUGCCAACCCGCAGGGGGAGCUAAUCCGAUAAAACCGUUCUCAGUUCGGAUUGUAGGCUGCAACUCGCCUACAUGAAGCCGGAAUCGCUAGUAAUCGCGGAUCAGCAUGCCGCGGUGAAUACGUUCCCGGGCCUUGUACACACCGCCCGUCACACCACGAGAGUUUGUAACACCCGAAGUCGGUGAGGUAACCUUUUGGAGCCAGCCGCCGAAGGUGGGAUAGAUGAUUGGGGUGAAGUCGUAACAAGGUAGGCGUAGAUGA
rnacentral:rRNA from 1 species